rnacentral:lncRNA from 1 species
GGGGUGGGCAGGGGCACCCAUGGGUGCUGGGGGGUGGGGGAGGGGGGGCACCCACCUUCUCGAAGUCGAUGGGGUACAUGCGGAAGCCGGGCAGCUCCUCGGGGCUGGGCAGCGAGGCCUUGAGCUCCUCCAGCCGCCCGUCGUCUGGGGGGACGGGGGGGGGGCACCCAUGGGACAGCAGCACCCAAGGGUGCCCCCGGAACGCCCGCAGACACCCCCACACCACCACCCCCCCACCCACCCCCGGGGGUCCUGCGCCCGUGGUCUGCUGCCCCCAUUGCACCCGUGGGUGCUAUGAACCCGUCUCCUGCCCCAUAGCACCCAUGGGUGCUACAGAACCUUAUCUCCAGCCCCACAGCACCCAUGGGUCCCCAACUCCACACCUCCAGCCCCACAGCACCCAUGGGUGCCCCAAACCCUAUCUCCUGCCCCAUAGCACCCAUGGGUGCCCAACUCCAUACCUCCAACCCCACAGCACCCAUGGGUGCCCCAACCCCUACCUCCUUCCCAUAGCACCCAUGGGUGCCCUAGAUCAUUAUCUCCUAUCCAUAGCACCCAUGGGUGCCCCAACCUCUACCUCCUGCCCCAUAGUACCCAUGGGUGCUCAAACUCCUAUGUCCAGCCUUCUGGCACCCAUAGGUGCCCUAAACCUGUAUCUCCAGCCCCACAGCACCCAUGGGUGCCCCAACCCCUAUCUCCUGCCCCAUAGCACCCAUGGGUCCCCAACUCCAUACCUCCAAACCCAUAGCACCCAUGGGUGCCCCAACCCCUAUCUCCUUCCCAUAGCACCCAUGGGUGCCCUAAACCCACC